CAGUCGCCGCGGUAAUACGAAGGGUGCAGGCGUUAAUCGGAAUUACUGGGCGUAAAGCGUGCGUAGGCGGUGAGUUAAGUCUGCUGUGAAAUCCCCGGGCUCAACCUGGGAAUGGCAGUGGAUACUGGCUCGCUAGAGUGUGUCAGAGGAUGGUGGAAUUCCCGGUGUAGCGGUGAAAUGCGUAGAGAUCGGGAGGAACAUCAGUGGCGAAGGCGGCCAUCUGGGACAACACUGACGCUGGGGCACGAAAGCGUGGGGAGCAAACAGGAUUAGAUACCCCCGUAGUCCCUGUCUCUUAUAC
rnacentral:rRNA from 1 species